rnacentral:tRNA from 1 species
GCCUUCGUAGUGUAAUGGUCAGCAUACUCGGCGCAUAUUCGAGAGGUCCGUGGUUCAAAUCCUGGCAAGGCCU